AGAGUUUGAUCCUGGCUCAGGACGAACGCUGGCGGUGCGCCUUAUGCAUGCAAGUCGAGCGAAGCUUUUCAGUAGUUUACUACAGAAAAUGACUGAGCGGCGAACGGGUGAGUAACGCGUGAGCAAUCUACCUUAGUUACAGGGAUAGCCCGAGGAAACUCGGAUUAAUACCUGAUAUUCUUUACAUUUCGCAUGAAAUCAAAAGGAAAGGUCAGCCGAACUAAGAUGAGCUCGCGUUCUAUCAGCUAGUUGGUGAGGUAAAAGCUCACCAAGGCAACGACGGAUAGCUGGUCUGAGAGGACGAUCAGCCACACUGGGACUGAGACACGGCCCAGACUCCUACGGGAGGCUGCAGCAGGGAAUAUUGCGCAAUGAGCGAAAGCUUGACGCAGCGACACCGCGUGUGGGAUGACGGAUCUAGGUUUGUAAACCACUUUCAGGAGGGAAGAAAAUGACGGUACCUCCACAAGAAGCCCCGGCCAACUACGUGCCAGCAGCCGCGGUAAUACGUAGGGGGCGAGCGUUGUCCGGAUUUAUUGGGCGUAAAGAGCUCGUAGGCGGUUCAACAAGUCGGUCGUAAAAGUUCAGGGCUCAACCCUGAAAUGUCGAUCGAUACUGUUGUGACUAGGAUACGGUAGAGGUGAGUGGAAUUCCGAGUGUAGCGGUGAAAUGCGUAGAUAUUCGGAGGAACACCAAUUGCGAAGGCAGCUCACUGGGCCGCUAUCGACGCUGAGGAGCGAAAGCUAGGGGAGCAAACAGGAUUAGAUACCCUGGUAGUCCUAGCUGUAAACGAUGGAUACUAGACGUAGGACUGGAUUGACGGUUUCUGUGUCGUAGCUAACGCGUUAAGUAUCCCGCCU
rnacentral:rRNA from 1 species